UACGGGGGGGGCAAGCGUUGUUCGGAAUUACUGGGCGUAAAGGGCUCGUAGGCGGCCAACUAAGUCAGACGUGAAAUCCCUCGGCUUAGCCGGGGAACUGCGUCUGAUACUGGAUGGCUUGAGUUCGGGAGAGGGAUGCGGAAUUCCAGGUGUAGCGGUGAAAUGCGUAGAUAUCUGGAGGAACACCGGUGGCGAAGGCGGCAUCCUGGACCGACACUGACGCUGAGGAGCGAAAGCCAGGGGAGCAAACGGG
rnacentral:rRNA from 1 species